AGAGAAAGGGGAAAACAAAUCGUCGCCUGAGAGAUUCGAACUCUCGCGGGGAAACCCCAUGUACUUAGCAGGCACACGCCUUAACCACUCGGCCAAAGCGACGGUUUACAAAUGAUUAUCUGAUAAAAGUUUAGAGUAAUAAAAUCCAAAUUCACCUUCGAAAUAUCGAGCUGGGAGGGGGUUUGAAAAGGGUAAGUAGGGUGAAGACUGUGUCGAACUGGCGGAGGUGGCAGCAGGAAGGAGGAUAUGGCCGUGGAGGUGGAGGUGGCGGCCGAUGGAAGUUCUGAUGGGUCAUCUGGAUUUUGUUCCAUUUCAGCGAAAAGUAGACCAUAAAUUCAUAACUGAUUGGACUUCAUUGAAUCCAUGAUUUUAGGGGCAGUUUCAGUUUCUUAGUACAGGUAAUUGAAACAAAAUCAAUGCCUGUUUUUGCCCUCGUUCUUCUUCAGAAUCAGUAAAAUGGGUUUAACUUAUAAAUGUUGACAUUGAGUUGAUUCCUGAAGUUCACAUUGCUUAUUAUGUCCUAUGACCUAUCUUCUGUAUAUUUAUGUUGUGAUUAUGGAAUAUAUCCAUAUUGUUAGUUUGA